CGCGUAGGCGGGCCUUCAAGUCGGUUGUGAAAACCUGAGGCUUAACUUCAGGCCUGCAUCCGAUACUGUUGGUCUUGAGUGCGGGAGAGGAAAGCGGAAUUCCAGGUGUAGCGGUGAAAUGCGUAGAUAUCUGGAAGAACACCAGUAGCGAAGGCGGCUUUCUGGCCCGACACUGACGCUGAAGCGCGAAGGCUUGGGGAGCAAACA
rnacentral:rRNA from 1 species